rnacentral:tRNA from 1 species
GCGAAUAUGCUGGAACUGGCAGACAGGCACGUUUGAGGGGCGUGUGCAGUAUUGCGUGUGGGUUCAAGUCCCACUAUUCGCACCA